AAUAGUUUUCAAACUUAAAUGAUGUAUACAAGGGAUUUAAAAUCCCUCGCCUUUCGAGGCGUGCCAGUUCAAGUCUGGCUUCGGGCACCA
rnacentral:tRNA from 1 species